GCUGGGUGUGGUGGUGAACACCUGUAGUCCCAGCUACUUGGGAGGCUGAGGCAGGAGGAUUGCCUGAGCCCAGGAGUUUGAGGUUGCAGUGAGUUAUGAUAAUGCCGCUGCACUCCAGCCUGGGUUACAGAGCAAGACCUUUCUCUC
ensembl:misc_RNA Metazoa_SRP Metazoan signal recognition particle RNA